AAUCGAACUUGGAGAUAGCUGGUUCUCCUCGAAAUAGCUUUAGGGCUAGCCUCAAUUUAGUUUACAGGGGGUAGAGCACUGAAUACCGUAGGGGUGUUAGACAUUACCGAAAGUUAUCAAACUGCGAAUACCUGAUAAAUGAUGAUUGGGAGUCAGACUAUGUGGGAUAAGCUUCAUAGUCAAAAGGGAAAGAGCCCAGACCACCAGCUAAGGUCCCUAAAUAUAGAUUAAGUGGUAAAGGAUGUUUUACUACUUAGACAACCAGGAUGUUGGCUUAGAAGCAGCCAUACAUUUAAAGAGUGCGUAAUAGCUCACUGGUCAAGUGGUAGAGCGCCGAAAAUGAACGGGGCUAAAAUCUAAUACCGAAGCUGUGGACUAAUUUAAUUAGUGGUAGAGGAGCAUUGUGUAAGGGGCGAAGCUAAGUUGGAAGACGAAGUGGACUUUACAGAAGAGAGAAUGCUGGCAUGAGUAGCGAAAAGGAGGGUGAGAAUCCCUCCCGUCGAAAGCCUAAGGAUUCCUGAGGAAGGCUCGUCCUCUCAGGGUAAGUCGGGACCUAAGCCCAGGCUGAAAAGCGUAAGCGAUGGACAACAGGUUGAGAUUCCUGUACUAUCUUUGAAUGUUUGAGAGAUGUACUGACGCAGGAGGAUAUGUUGAGCGUGUGAAUGGUAGAGCACGUCUAAGCAAGUAGGUAGAGAAUAGAGGCAAAUCCCUAUUCUUAAUAUCGAGAUGCGAUGGGGAGCGAAAAAUAAGUAGUGAAGCAACAGAUUCCAAACUGCCAAGAAAAGGUACUAUUGAGUGAGAAGAUACCCGUACCAAAACCGACACAGGUAGGCAAGGAGAGAAUCCUAAGACGCGCGGAAGAACCUUUGUUAAGGAACUCGGCAAAAUGACCCCGUAACUUCGGGAGAAGGGGUACCAUUAGAUGUGAAGUACAUACGUAUGGAGCAUAGAGUGGUCGCAGAGAAUAGGCCCAAGCAACUGUUUACCAAAAACACAAGUCUCUGCUAAAUCGAAAGAUGAAGUAUAGGGGCUGACACCUGCCCGGUGCUGGAAGGUUAAGGGGAAAUGUUAGAGCAAUCGAAGCAUAGAACUUAAGCCCCAGUAAACGGCGGCCGUAACUAUAACGGUCCUAAGGUAGCGAAAUUCCUUGUCGGGUAAGUUCCGACCCGCACGAAAGGUGUAAUGAUUUGGGCACUGUCUCAACAAAGGAUCCGGUGAAAUUGUAGUAGUCGUGAAGAUGCGACUUACCCACGAUAGGACGGAAAGACCCCGUGGAGCUUUACUGUAGGCUGGCAUUGGAAUUUGGUAUUAAAUGUACAGGAUAGGUGGGAGACUUUGAAGCGAGAGCGCCAGUUUUCGUGGAGUCGACGUUGGGAUACCACUCUUUUGAUACUAAAUUUCUAACUUGAUACUCUGAAGCGAGUAUAAGGACACUGUCAGUUGGGCAGUUUGACUGGGGCGGUCGCCUCCUAAAGAGUAACGGAGGCGUUCAAAGGUUCCCUCAGAAUGGAUGGAAAUCAUUCUAAGAGUGCAAAGGCAAAAGGGAGCUUAACUGCGACACCAACAAGUGGAGCAGAUAGGAAACUAGGACUUAGUGAUCCGGUGGUACCGAGUGGAAGGGCCAUCGCUCAACGGAUAAAAGCUACCCCGGGGAUAACAGGCUUAUCUCCCCCAAGAGUUCACAUCGACGGGGAGGUUUGGCACCUCGAUGUCGGCUCGUCUCAUCCUGGGGCUGGAGUAGGUCCCAAGGGUUGGGCUGUUCGCCCAUUAAAGAGGCACGCGAGCUGGGUUCAGAACGUCGUGAGACAGUUCGGUCCCUAUCCAUCGUGGGCGUAGGAAAUUUGAGAGGAGCUGUCCUUAGUACGAGAGGACCGGGAUGGACAGACCGCUGGUGUAUCAGUUAUCAUGCCAAUGGUAAUGCUGAAUAGCUAAGUCUGGAAGGGAUAAGUGCUGAAGGCAUCUAAGCACGAAGCCCCCCUCAAGAUGAGAUUUCCUGUUGC
rnacentral:rRNA from 1 species